rnacentral:misc_RNA from 1 species
UGAUCCCCUCCUACCCACCUUACACUCCCUCUUUCCCCGUCUACCAGGUGUGUCUGUGUGUGCAUCUGCUCUUGGUGGUUGUGCCUGAUUGUGCCAUCUUCAUUUUCCUGUUCACUUCCGAAUCGUCGCUCAGCCGCCCGCUGAGCUCCCCCAAACAACAAUACAGAGGAAACUCACACAAGUUUUUGCAGAAAUGGCGACCAACCCCGAUAUUGAGACCGAUAUUCCUCGCGAUGUGUACCAGUUCUUUCGUGGACUGAACCGCGCGGUGGAGCGCCGCGACGCGGCGGCGAUGCACGACCUCUACGAGUCGCAGUUUGAUGCGCUUACCAAGAAUUAUUACAUGGCCGGCCACGGUCAGUUUCGCUCCUGGCCGGCGCUCCGCCUUGAGCAGGUGUCGUCGUGCUUUCGUGGCAACCGCAUGGCGGAGCUGGUCUACAGUUUCCUCUUCUACAAGCACCUGUUCAUGGACAACCGCUCCGUGAGGGCUCCCGACGCGGAGGGGGCGUGGAAGACGUACAGUGAGCUCCUCCCGAUGCUGAAGAGCUACGAGCUGCCGAACUGGAUGCUGUGGGACAUCUUUGAUGAGUUUCUCUAUCAGAUGACGGUGGUGUAUCAGAAGGUCUUUGCCACGGAGGGCAUCUGGGCUGUGCCGGAGGUGUCGCGUCUUCUCAACGAGGUCGUCGACAACUCACGCCUGCUCGAGCUGGUGAAGGAGCCGGACUUUCUGGACGACAUUCACCGCGGCCCGAACACAGGUGCGCUUAGCGGCUUCUACGCAAUUGUGACCAAGUCGAAGCUGAACGUGCUCCUCGGCGACUACUACUCCGCCCUCACGGACUUGGAGCCCCUCGACGUGUACAACAAGGGCCGUGCCGUGCUGACGCGGGUGUCGCCGUGCGCGGUCUCCGUGUUCUACCACAUCGGCUUCAGCUAUCUGAUGAUCCACCGCUUCGAGGACGCCAGCAACGCCUUCCGCCGCUGCGUCACGGUGAAGCUUAACGGCCGUCGCUUCUCCGAGCGCGUGCAGCAGGAUGCGGCAUACAUGUACGUCUGCGCUCGUGUGCUGGGUGGCAUGCCGAUCAACAACCUCACCUCAUACCUCGACAGCCGCAAGGUGGCCGCCUUCGAGGACGACCGCGAAAGCCUGCGCACCGGUGACGAGGAGCGCUUCCGUGACGUGUUUGACCGCUGUAGCCCCAAAUUUCUCACUGUGCCGCCGUCGGAUGGGUCGCCGGUGAAGGGGUCGGAGGGUCGCGAGCUGCAGGCGCGCAUGUUCCGUCGCGCGGUGCAGCAGCAGCAGGACAUCAUCAAGCUUCGCGGGUACUUCAAGGUGUACCAGAACACCAAGAUGAACCUUCUCGAGACGCUGCUGGAGGUCGACGAUGGCUAUGCGCCGCUGUUCGCACUCAAGAUGCGCUCUCGCCAGCUGGUUCACGACGGCGUGACGGCGGACCUGCUGCAGGGCGUCUUCACGUCUAGCUCCGAGUUCGACUGCAUUGUGCAGGAUGACAACGUCGAGGUGGUGCCCAGUAUGACGUUUGGCGGCAUAGAGCAGAAGCUGCUGAACAAGAUCAAGAACACGCAGCGCGACAUCGACAUGGCGAAGCGCAAGUUCAACCAGACCCGCAACCGCGAUGAAGGCGGCAACAAGCGCAGGGAUCAGCGCGACCAGAAGCGUCGCCCCAAUCAGCAGCAGCUGCACGGCGGCGUCGGCAAUAACGCCGGCAGCGCGAACAGGAACAACAACAACGCGAACCGCUACCCGCGUCAGAAGAUGGCUGCGCAGCCUAUGACAAGCAACCUCUUCAACCGUAACGACAACUGAGCGCGGCGACACUGGACGCUGCAAGCUCGGCGGCUGUGAAGGGCGGUCGCUUGCGUAGAGGAAUGCCUGAGAGUGCCCCCCUACGACGCUGAUGUCUGCGAUAGCACCGCCGAGGGAGUGCGUUGCCCGUGCGCCUGUCCGAGUUUCACAUGCACGUCUCUGUAUUUCUUUUUUUUGGUUUUCGUGAUCUUCCGUGUGUCGCCGUGUAUGCGCCCGGCCGAGUGAGGCGCUAACUACCCAAGCGCGUGUGCGUGCGUGUGUGUGUGUGGUGUCUGUGUGCGUGUAUUUUUGGGUGGGUGUGAGGUUCUUUCUCUUUGAAUUUUAAGUAAAGUUGGGGAGUGGCUGUGCCGUGAAUGCAAAACUGCCGCUGCAACUCGUCAGGAAGACGAAAAGAGAGGGAGAGCGCAUGCGAGAGACGGGAGCGUUGCGGUGAGUGGACAAGGCCAUUUCUUGAUGUUCAAGAAGAGAUGUGCACACGCACGCGUGUCUCGCUCUCGCUUUUUCUUUUUCACUCGUGCGCCUGCGUAUGCGUGCGCGCUCGUCUCUUCUCUGCUUUCUGUUUGCCUUUUUGUUGUGACCCCGCGUGUGUGCAUGUGUGUCCCUAAAAGCUUCUAACUAUUCCCAUCGCUUCAGUGAAAGGAAGUGGCUAACGAAUCAACAUGAUAGCGCUGCCGCACAUCCCCUACACACAUACACGCUCCCUAAAGGCAUCCCACAGGAGAGGGGGAGAAGCUUCUUUGCAGGCUUGUGUGUAUGUGUGCGUGGCAUCUUCCUCGACGGUGCAUCGGCGUAGCGCCUCUAUCG